AUUGAACGCUGGCGGCAGGCCUAACACAUGCAAGUCGAGCGGAUGAAGGGAGCUUGCUCCUGGAUUCAGCGGCGGACGGGUGAGUAAUGCCUAGGGAUCUGCCUGGUAGUGGGGGAUAACGUCCGGAAACGGGCGCUAAUACCGCAUACGUCCUGAGGGAGAAAGUGGGGGAUCUUCGGACCUCACGCUAUCAGAUGAGCCUAGGUCGGAUUAGCUAGUUGGUGGGGUAAAGGCCCACCAAGGCGACGAUCCGUAACUGGUCUGAGAGGAUGAUCAGUCACCCUGGAACUGAGACGCGGUCCUGACUCCUACGGGAGGCAGCAGUGGGGAAUAUUGGACAAUGGGCGAAAGCCUGAUCCAGCCAUGCCGCGUGUGUGAAGAAGGUCUUCGGAUUGUAAAGCACUUUAAGUUGGGAGGAAGGGCAGUAAGUUAAUACCUUGCUGUUUUGACGUUACCAACAGAAUAAGCACCGGCUAACUUCGUG
rnacentral:rRNA from 1 species